GCCGCGGUAAUUCCAGCUCCAAUAGCGUAUAUUAAAGUUGUUGCAGUUAAAAAGCUCGUAGUUGGAUCUCAGGAUUUGGAUGGAUGGUUCGCUUUCGGGCGCUACUAUCUGUCUGACCUACUCUAGUCGUGGAUGCCUUGGGUGCUCUUAAUUGAGUGCUUUUGGUGCCCGACGCAAUUACUUUGAAAAAAUUAGAGUGCUCAAAGCAGGCUAUUGCCUGAAUAGUGUUGCAUGGAAUAAUGAAAUAGGAGUUUACUUCUAUUUUGUUGGUUUUCGGAGGUGAACUAAUGAUUAACAGGGACAGACGGGGGCAUUUGUAUGGAGGGGUAGAGGUGAAAUUCUUGGAUCCUCUCCAGACAAACUACUGCGAAAGCUUUUGCCAGGAAUGUUUUCACUAAUCAAGAACGAAAGUCAGAGGUUCGAAGACGAUCAGAUACCGUCCUAGUUCUGACCAUAAAUGAUGCCAUCUAACAAUCCACUAAGUUUGCUUGUACGAACUCGUGGGCGGUCCCCGGGAAACCAAAGAUUUUGGGUUCCGGGGGAAGUAUGGUUGCAAAGCUGAAACUUAAAGGAAUUGACGGAAGGGCACCACCAGGAGUGGGGCCUGCGGCUUAAUUUGACCCAACACGGGAAACCUCACCCGGCCCGGACACUUUUAGGAUUGACAGAUUGAAGGCUCUUUCUUGAUCAAGUGGUUGGUGGUGCAUGGCCGUUCUUAGUUGGUGGAGCGAUUUGUCUGGUUAAUUCCGAUAACGAACGAGACUCUACUCUGCUAAAUAGAACGUUGAUAUAUAAAAGUCAGUGCUGACUUCUUAGAGAGACUAACGGCGUUUAGCCGUGUGAGGAAGAGCAAUAACAGGUCUGUGAUGCCCUUAGAUGUCCGGGGCCGCACGCGCGCUACACUGACUGCAGCAACUAGUAUGCUCCUGGUUUGAAAAAACUGGGUAACCUGGUUGAAUUGCAGGCGUGACAGGGAUCAGAGUUUGCAAUUAUCCUCUGUGAACGAGGAAUUCCCAGUAAGCGCAAGUCAUUAGCUUGUGCUGAUUACGUCCCUGCCCUUUGUACACACCGCCCGUCGCUACUACCGAUUGAAUGGUUUAGUGAGGUCUUCGGAUUGGUGCUGAUGGAGUGGUUCUCUGCUCUGUUAGUGCCGAGAAGAUGAUCAAACUUGAUCAUUUAGAGGAAGUAAAAGUCGUAACAAGGU
rnacentral:rRNA from 1 species